rnacentral:rRNA from 1 species
ACUACGGGUGGCAGCAGUGAGGAAUAUUGGUCAAUGGACGCAAGUCUGAACCAGCCAUGCCGCGUGCAGGAAGACGGCUCUAUGAGUUGUAAACUGCGUUUGUACGAGGGUAAACGCAGAUACGUGUAUCUGUCUGCAAGUAUCGUACGAAUAAGGAUCGGCUAACUCCGUGCCAGCAGCCGCGGUAAGACGGAGGAUUCAAGCGUUAUCCGGAUUUGUUUGGUUUAAAGGGUGCGUAGGCGGUCGGUUAAGUUAGAGGUGCAAUCCCGCGGCUCAACUUCGGAAUUGCCUCUGAUACUGUUCGGCUAGAGCGUAGUUGCGGUAGGCGGAAUGUAUGGUGUAGCGGUGAACUGCUUAGAUAUCAUCCAGAACACCAAUUGCGAAGGCAGCUUACCAAGCUACGUCUGACGUUGAGGCACGAAAGCGUGGGGAGCAAACAGGAUUAGCUACCCGAGUAGUC